UGGUGGUGGUGGUGGUGGUGGUGGUGGUGGUGGAGGGGGACUCAUUGUGGUGUAGGGUGUAAGCUGUCGAAGGCUUUUCAAGGAUUCUACCUCUCGAUUACAUCAGCGGCUGCCUUCAACAGGUCACAGACGUCGCUGACGGGUGCCAUGGGGUGGAACGACUCUCACAGACCCUCAGCUAGCGGCAUGACUAACACCAAGGAUAUCCCAGCCAGUCAGCCACAGGGAUGCUCCAUGGAGACAAGGGGAGGCAAGACAGACGGGGUCAUCUCUGCCAAAUCUCGGCCUGACUGCAACCAGACAACUGCGCAUCCGACAACGAACACAAACGGUGGAUCCAGUCCAUCAGCAUUCAGCAGACAAGAGCCCGCGACCUCUGACUCCUGUUCCUGUGGUGACGUCACACCCACACCUUUACCUGAGUUACCCCGUGGCUUGUGACUUAUGAUGUUUGCACCUGAGGGAUGAUGCAGUAUGACGCUUUUAUAAACUCGUAAAGUUCCCUUUGUCGGGUGGACAAGGAAUACACCCGCAGAAGGUAAAUCAUUUCAUGAUCACGUGGUCUGGAUCGUCUGUUCGCCUCUUGAUGAUUUAUGUCCGGGUAUCUGGCCAUCCCUGACACUGGCGGCUAGAUGGCACUCACGUAGGGAUUGCUUGUGUGUGUGUGUGUUUGUGUCUGUGUGUCUGUGAGUGUGUGUUUGCAAGUGUACGUACGUGCGUGCAGCUUUGCGUGUGUUUGUCUGUGUGUGUGUGUGUGCGUGUUCACACGUGUACGUACGUGCAGCUCUACGUGUGUCCGGGUGGAAGGCUAAGAGGUAUGGGGAGGGGGACAUCGGGGCAGAAGAGUUAUCAGACCUGCAAAUAGCAACGGUCGUAUCGCGCUGCCCAGAUGAUAGCGGCGUCCACCCGCCCUGCCAACCUUCCUGGCUUCCUUUUGAAGUUCUGGCAUGGACUGGAGGGCGGGUAGGUGGAGGAACACAUGCUAAUCCCUUACUUCCCGUGCUACCGACCUCGUAAACAUACUACCUACCUCCGAAUAUACUAUGAACACAUUACUUACUAUACUACACAUACGACUGAACACACUGCUAACUGCUGAACACA